AUUGAAUCUGAGCGGAAUUGAUUUAUUUAGAUUAAAUUUAAAAUUUUAAGCUUAUUUUAUUAAUUAAAAAUAUAAGUUUAAGUUUAAAAAUUAUAUUUAUAAAUUUUAAUUUUAAUUUGAACUUAAAUUAAAAAUUAAAAUUCAAUCAAAGUAUUUCAAAUCAAAUUUAUAAAUUUGAAUUUAAAAUUAAUUUAAAAUCUAAAAUUUUGUUCAAAUUUUAUUUAAAAUUUAAAUUAAAUUUAUGGAUUUAAAUCGAAAUUUAAAUUAUAAUUUUAAGUAUGAAUUUGAAUAAAUCAAAAUUUAGUUUAUUAUUUUGAAUUAUCCAUUCAAUUUUAAAUUUUAAUUUUUUUUUAAAAAAAUAUAUUUAAAAUUUUGGAAUCAUUUUAAAAAUUUGACAUAAAUUUUUAUUAUUUAAUUUUUAGUUUGAAUUUGAACUAAUAUAUUAUAAAGAUAAAAUUGACAUAUUAAUUUGAUUACAUUUCUGAUAUUUAUCUGAAUCAAACACUGACAAUGAGAAUCGUUCAUUCCGAUUCCGAUUCAGGUGACGAACCAAACAAAAUGAGGUAAUGAAUUAUUCCGAUUUCGUUUUCAGCUUAUUCUUAUUUCGAUUUCAAUACAGAUUCUGCUUCGAACCAAACACACUCUGCGUGUUUUCUGAAUGGAGCUCAUUCAUGCCUCUGUGUAGGUUUAUGAUAUCAGUGAUGAAUCAAUUCAAAAAUAAAGAACAUUUCUUUAUGCUAAAAUGUCCAAACAAAUGUUGCUAUAGCUUUUUCUAAAAAAUGUAACAGAUAAUAUAGACUUGGGGUUAAUUUCAUACAGGUUAGUGCAAAUAAAGUGAAUGUCAAAUAUAUCCCUAUAAAAUUCAACUUUCAUGUGUUGUCCUUGUAAAAGUUCUGAUAUUUUCAAAUAUAUCUCUGCCGUUAGAAUCCGUUAAAAAAAUUUAGUUAACUAUAUAUUAAACACUUAACUCUUGUUAGUUUUGACAUUUUUACCUCUUUAAAUUGUACUGUUAUAACUUUUUGAGGGAUAUAUUUGUGAUGGUAAAUUUGAAAAUAUAAACAGUUCUCACCGUUUGGUUCAGGUAUAAGCAACAACUAGCUAUUACAGGGAUAGGUACAAGUAUGGGGAUAAGAAAAAUAGCGUUUGGAUGAAAAUUGGGUUGUUCCCGAGGAUAAGAAAAAUAUUAAAAAGUUUUAUAUAGAAAAUGGAGGUGUUGGUGGGGAUAACCGAGAACUACUAUUCUCGGGUAAAAAAUUAGCGUUUGGAUAUAAAGGGGGGGAUAGGGGCCUAUCCCUAUCCCUAUUCCCAAACCAAACAGUGCUUAAUGGUAACAAACCAGAGAGAUAUAUUUGAAAACAUCAAGACUUUUGUAGGGACAAUACAUAAAACUUAAACUUUGUAAGGAUAUAUUUGUUAUUCACUAUGUUUGCAUCAACCUUAUAGACUUGACCCACUUAAAUAAAGGACAAAAAUAAAUAAAUAUUUGUGAAAUUGUGAGACUCAUAAUAAUAAAUAUAUAUAAUUUUCUUUCUCUGAAUUAGGCCUAUUUGCCUCAAAGUGGUCCCAUUUGUGUCCACUGAUCCAGCAACAUAUGCAGGGGGGCAUCAACAUGUGUUUUAGGUUGAAAUUAUUGGAAUCUGCCGCACUUCCUCACGGAAUAGACCUUACGCGACUGUGCUUUUUAAAUAGAGCUAUUUGAAAAAAAAAAAAAUCACUAAGUUUCCAUUUGUUUCUUGUUGCUUGCCCAA
rnacentral:lncRNA from 1 species